rnacentral:rRNA from 1 species
GCAUAAGCGCACGGUUCCGCAUGGAACAGUGUGAAAAACUCCGGUGGUAUACGAUGGAUCCGCGUCUGAUUAGCCAGUUGGCGGGGUAACGGCCCACCAAAGCGACGAUCAGUAGCCGGCCUGAGAGGGUGAACGGCCACAUUGGGACUGAGACACGGCCCAAACUCCUACGGGAGGCAGCAGUGGGGAAUAUUGCACAAUGGGGGAAACCCUGAUGCAGCGACGCCGCGUGAGUGAAGAAGUAUUUCGGUACGUAAAGCUCUAUCAGCAGGGAAGAAAAAAAGUCCUUUGGACUUUGGACGGUACCUGACCAAGAAGCCCCGGCUAACUACGUGCCAGCAGCCGCGGUAAUACGUAGGGGGCAAGCGUUAUCCGGAUUUACUGGGUGUAAAGGGAGCGUAGACGGCAGCGCAAGUCUGGAGUGAAAUGCCGGGGCCCAACCCCGGAACUGCUUUGGAAACUGUGCAGCUCGAGUGCAGGAGAGGUAAGCGGAAUUCCUAGUGUAGCGGUGAAAUGCGUAGAUAUUAGGAGGAACACCAGUGGCGAAGGCGGCUUACUGGACUGUAACUGACGUUGAGGCUCGAAAGCGUGGGGAGCAAACAGGAUUAGAUACCCUGGUAG